UACGGGGGGGGCAAGCGUUGUUCGGAAUUACUGGGCGUAAAGGGCUCGUAGGUGGCCAACUAAGUCAGACGUGAAAUCCCUCGGCUUAACCGGGGAACUGCGUCUGAUACUGGAUGGCUUGAGUUUGGGAGAGGGACGCGGAAUUCCAGGUGUAGCGGUGAAAUGCGUAGAUAUCUGGAGGAACACCGGUGGCGAAGGCGGCGUCCUGGACCAACACUGACACUGAGGAGCGAAAGCUAGGGGAGCGAACAGG
rnacentral:rRNA from 1 species